rfam:Heterocephalus glaber contig30426, whole genome shotgun sequence.
GGGGGUGUAGCUCAGUGCUAAAGCACUUGCCUAUUAUGCACCAGGCCCUGGGUUCAAUUCCUAGUACUGCCA